AGAGUUUGAUUCUGGCUCAGGAUGAACGCUAGCGGCAGGCCUAACACAUGCAAGUCGAGGGGUAUAUGCUUUCGGGUAUAGAGACCGGCGCACGGGUGCGUAACGCGUAUGCAAUCUACCUUUUACAGGGGAAUAGCCCAGAGAAAUUUGGAUUAAUGCCCCAUGGUAUAUUUUAGUGGCAUCACUAGAUUAUUAAAGUUCCAACGGUAAAAGAUGAGCAUGCGUCCCAUUAGUUAGUUGGUAAGGUAACGGCUUACCAAGACGAUGAUGGGUAGGGGUCCUGAGAGGGAGAUCCCCCACACUGGUACUGAGACACGGACCAGACUCCUACGGGAGGCAGCAGUGAGGAAUAUUGGACAAUGGGCGCAAGCCUGAUCCAGCCAUGCCGCGUGCAGGAAGACGCAUCUAUGGUGUGUAAACUGCUUUUGUACGGGAAGAAACACUCCUACGUGUAGGAGCUUGACGGUACCGUAAGAAUAAGGAUCGGCUAACUCCGUGCCAGCAGCCGCGGUAAUACGGAGGAUCCAAGCGUUAUCCGGAAUCAUUGGGUUUAAAGGGUCCGUAGGCGGUUUAAUAAGUCAGUGGUGAAAUCUGGUCGC
rnacentral:rRNA from 1 species